ensembl:lncRNA
UAUAUGUAUAUAUAUAUAUAUAUAAAAUAUUUGCAACAAGCCAAGCCAAAAUUUAGUCUUAUCAGAUUUCAAGAAAUAGACCAAACUGUUAAAAUAACGCAGGUAUCUGUGUAAGUAAAAACUACCUCAUGCAAAGGACACUAAUGGAAGUCUAGUACAUCAUAAUUAUGCCUUUAUGAUGGCAUGAGGAACCUAGUCAUUCCUAAACCGUGCUGAAUGUUGUCUGUGUUGAUCAUAUGCACUCAAAAGAGCAGGGUAAAUUUUAUAUUUAAAGCAGUGCUUGGGAAUUGGGGCCCUUUGGUUUUGUACAAUGGCAACUCACAGUUAAACAGUCUGAUUCAGAUAGGUUGAUUUUGGAAUGAGGAAUGAUAUGUAUUUCUGAAUGCACUUAAUUUGUAUGAUUUAAAAGCAUAAUUAGAAAGGUUAGUCAGUUGAUUACUGAAAGUGUAGUAUAGGUGUCAGAAGCUAUACAUUUAUAUACUUAAUAUUUUCCAAGACAAACUUCUAUGAGGAUUUUAUUGUUCUUUUGUAAGUUAAACAAAUUAUUUGUUCAACUUAAAUUAUAAAAGAAAAAGAAAGGAAGGAAGGAAGGAAGGAAGGAAGGAAGGAACAUUUUUCUUCAUGGACUAUUUUCCCUCAAAUCCUUCUGAAUUUUUUACUUCCUGCCAGCUGUAACAUCAGGACUAGAUUUCUUAAUAAAGUAGCUGUUGCUCGAAAGUCUGUGGUCACUAGCAUGUAGGUUUUGUUCACUGGAAUCUUAGAAAUUGAUUUUCAGUAGACAGAAAAAAUUCACAGGGAGAAAAAAGUGGCUUUGGCUCACAGCUUAAUUUCUCCUUUGCAUUAUAUAUAUUUUCCCAUUUAAAAUUCACUUUAAAACUAUUUCUUAAGUAAAUAAAAUGGUAAGAAUAUUUAAAACUUAUUUUAAUAUUCAUUUUAAUUACAGUUACUCAUUUAUUCAUCUGAUUAAGUCCUAAGAUUGGCUAUACUUAAUUAGGAAAAUCAUAGGAAAAUACAGUCAGUGCCCACUUAAGUUUCAAUUUAGAUGUUGACUAUCCACCUAUCUCACAAAGUCAGAAUAAAGAAUGGAAUAAAUAGAAGAUGACAAAGAAAGGUAUUGCUGUUUGGGGGUGUUAAUUUUUUGGAAUUUAUGUACUUCUUUUCUUGUGAUCUGAAUUUAAAACUUCUGAUGUAUACCAAAGAAUAUAAUUAGAAAUAGGAACUGAAAAAUAAAAGGUUGCAGAAGGGAAGGCAGCUUCCAGAUGGGGCACUUAUCUAGCAUGCACAUGGCCCCUUAUUAUAUCCCCAGGAUCAGCAAUACCAUGUAUACAAUGUUUUAUUCUCUUUUUAAAGAGAAAAAAUAAUACUUAUACAUCAGUAGAGAACACAAAGAAAAGUAUUCUAUGGAUGUUGAGUAUAAUAUUUAUAUAGUGACAUAAAUGUGUAAGACAACACUUCAAUUGGAGAAAACUAAAAUUUUGGGUGUGUUUCCUAAGAUUCCAUUUUUGCCUUUUUCUUUAGUACACUUAAGAUAUUUGAAUUAUUUUCUUUUACAAACCAAAUAGUUUGCUAGACAUCAUCUAAUUUUCCCUGAAAAAAUAAAUGGCUUUGGAUUGAAAUUUAUAAAUGAUUGAUCCCUUGUUAUAGCAAUAUAAAACAUCAAAAUUAGGUCUUUUUUAUUUCGGACCAUGGCAAUUCAUUAAUUUUGGCAAAGAAUUCAAAACUGCUUAAAAAGUUACUUGAAAAUGGGUUAAAAAUGCUUCUUUGGUAAGGUAGAUAGAAAUACUAUGUUGAAUGUUGUCAGACACUCCACGAUCUAGAAAAUCUAUAACAGGACUAUUUGCCUCAUGUAACAGUAUCCAAGAUGUUUGGCAGUGUAUCCCUUACACCUAAAGGUCAGGUGAAAUCAAUUUGCAUUUACUGUACCUAUCAUUCUAAAAGCAGAUUUCAGAAAAAGCUUUUCUAUCCCAAUCUUUACCAGUGUGAUUCUCAAAUCUAAUGAAAAAGGUGAAGAUUUAUCUAGAAGAGGAUUUUCUAAAUGAAGACUUGCAGGGACAAUGGGCAGGAGCUUUAAAAUGUUGAUUCUGGUACUUCCCAGGAGACAACAAAGAUGUUUGCAUAGAUCCACUUUCUCUUUCUUGUAUGACAAAACCUUUAGCAGCCAAGGUCCAAAGUCAAAGUCACUUCUCUUCCCAGGAUCUCUACUAAGCUCUAACCUUUUCCUGCUCACCUUACAGCUCUACAGCUCUACAGUGUUUAGUCCUGUGAAUGUGAAAAGAAAAGCCUCAGUCCAAAGAAUAAAAUACCAUCGCCAUAUACUUUAUAAGAGCUAUGAAGAAAUAGAGCCCAAAAAGACAGAUUAAAGGGAAAUUUAAAAGAAUGGAAGUACUGGAGUUAAAAAGGAAUGAGGAUCAUAGAGGAGUUUAAAAUGCCAACAUAUUUAAAGGCCUGAUUAAUUUGCCCUCCAUAGGCUCUAUACAUAUAAUGCAUUCAUUAGACUUUUAUUUAGAAAUGAUGCCAGACCGAUCAUAUUUAAGACAUAACUGAAGCUGAUACAAGUGAUAUUUGAAUUCCUACCUGGCUUCUCAUUAGCAUAAAGGCUAUGCGACAGAUUAAUUUGUCAUAUAGCAAAUACUGAUUGAUUGAAGACAUAGUACUAAAUUUUCCAAACAGAAGCAAAUUCUGCUUUGGUGGAUAUGUAUGAUGAAUAUUUUCUGUCAUUGUUCCUUUAAAUAGUCAUUCUAAUUAAGAGUUUUAUUAAGUUCCUUGUUGGUUUUCUAAAGCUUCGACUUGCUGAAUUUUAUUUGGUGGACCUAUCAUUCAGUAUCACAGUUUGUUGAAUAUAAAUACUGUGAUUUAAAAAAUCUGCAAUAGCAUAUCCAUAUCAAUACUUUCAGCUAUCUCUUAGGUUAACAAAGAUGGACUACAGACAUAUUUUUUAUCUAAGCAAAUAAUGUUUUUCCUUUGUACUCCCUAUAGGAGGAGCUUUUUCUUACUCUUUCCUUUCCUCCUGCUGAAGUCAGCUAAAUAUUUCAUAUACACUCAAAAAGAAGAAAAAAUUUAUGGCCAAAUAAUAAUCUGUAUUUCACAGACAGAAAAAAAUUGUUUUAAGGAUCAAAAGUAAAAGCAAGAGGUAACCAUUAUUUCAGGUCAUGAAAUCACGUAAAUGAAUUUUGCAAGUUAUGAUGACACACCUGAAACUAAUAAAAAAGGAUAGGCCUGUUAAUUAUGACUGCUAUCUCAUCAUUAUCUAUACACAAACGUUCAAGAAUUUUUUUCAAAUUUCCACAGAAUUGCUUUAGACGACUCUAAAUGUACAUUAUCUAGACCACUAAGGUACCUUACUCAAUGCCUUAAUUUGAAGGAGCCUGAACACACUACUUUUGACUUUUAUUAUCAAUCUCUGAAAUAGUUUAAUAUUUUAAACAUGAUAAUAUUGUUCAAUCAGGGAAAUAUGAUUCAAUGCCACAAUCUUAAGUUCUUAUUUAUAACAACUCUAUAACCCAUUUUGGUAACAUAGAAAACUUGGAAAAAUAGCAAUCACUGAAAUAUAAUUAAUUCAUGAUUAAAUGCUAUCACCACAGGAUAAAAUCUGAGGGACAAAGCCACUGAAUUAGUUUCUCGUUGCUAAAGCUCUUGAUGCAUUUUAUGAAACACUUUUUCAAACCGUAACAACUUUGAAGUUUAUAUAGAAGUAAACUGACAUGGUAUAAUUGUUUUUUCUAAGAAUAAUGAUUCUAGUUAAAAAUAGGAGGAAACUUACUUGCUAAAAUUUUUGCCCUAAAUGAAUUCUGCAUGAAAUACUAAGUUACAAGUAAGUGAGAAAUCUCUGAGUGAUAAUGGCAGAAUAUUCAGCUGCUUUCAAUGUUACAAGGCAAAGAGAACACCUUCAUUUCUCCUCUGAACACUCCCAAUGGUCUUGGUUUCUUAUCUCUAGUUCUCUGGAGCUUCCUACAAGAGAAGGGCAGUCUUGGAUAUACCUAGGCCAUUUACCUUUCAGAAGCUGAGUACUUGUUUUGUUAGUUGAGUGCAAAUUUAGAAAAUAUGAAGUAUGGAAUAUGAAAUAUCCUCAAAAUGUUAUGGCACAAGCUUUUAGGACAUAAAAUGUUUUCCAGACUUUGUGAUUCAAGUUCACAAUAAGAAAUACUUAUCAUUCCUAGAUCAGGGGUGGGAGAAGUGCACAGUGCAAAACCAUUUUGUUAGUGAGUGUCAGUUCGGCUAAAUAUGAGUAAAGAGAGAUGAAUAUGUUGUAUUUAAUUUCCUCUGUACACUAUCUGUCCUGUGCUAAUUUCAGUAGGCUUUUCUGUAACAUAAGGCAGAAUCAAUGUUUGGCCCUCUUUGUUUUGUAAAUCCAGAUUUUCUGACAUUUCUAUUUAUUUUUCAUCACUAUAACCCAGACUCUUUCCAUCUACCACCUUCAGAGACUUGCUAUUUAUAGCUCUGUGAGCUUCUAGUUAAAGUUUUACUGAGCCUCACAGCUGCUGCUAUGCUGACACGAUCUCAUCAGACGAUUGGAAAUGGAUGGUUUGGAAUUUUUUCUCAAAUAAAACAGAACAAAAAGACCAAACCAACAAAACAAGCAAAAACCACAAAAGUAACACAUAGCAAAAAGGUUAUCUGCUAUUAAUGAAAUCAAAUGUGUAUACAAUAGAAGCUGCAUGUUCUUUAACACUUUCUUCUAACAAUCUCUAUUCCUUUACAAAUCUCUUUGCUCUUUUAUCUUAAAUCUUUCAAGAGCUUAUAAAGCCACCAAAGAAUCACAUAUAUUUUUAUCAAAGUUCACUUUCUCAAUCAGGUCUUCCAACUUACAAUUGACUUCCAUUUAUUCAUCUUUGUUGCUUGCUGUAACAAACUACAAAGAUCUAAAGAUUUGAGCAAGUUUACCAAUAGUACACAAAUGCCUUUGAGAGCAAUAGAAAUUAAAGUAAUACGAAUAGUUGUUAAUUAUAUAUCAGACAUACACUGAUGUAAACACACUAGUUACAUGUUUACAAAUUAGUGAGUUUUGAGAUGGAUUUGUGUAUCAUUUGAUCAGUUUUUAAAUACAAUUGGUCCCUUGCUGAUCAUUUUGCUGUGAAACAACAAAUAACUUUAAAAAUUUCAAACCAUCUGUAUUAUUGCUACUGGAAACCAUGUCUCUAUUCCUCUAAAGGCUGGGUAAAAUGCACAGAUGUGCAUUAUAUAUGGCAUCAUUACCAUGGCUUAAAUUAUUGCUUAAACGAUUGUUGUAAAGUAUUGCUAAGAAAUUGCUUUGAGAGAAAUGUGUAAUAUACACAGUGAGAUGAGGCAUUAAGUAUUAGCUUUGUGUCUCUUUAUAACAUAGAUCAUAGUAGCAUUCUGAAGGUAGGUUAUCAUUUUAAUACUUACUUAUGUCCAAAAUGUACUUUGUUAGCUCAGUGGUGAGGGUCAGGAAGUGUAUUGAACAGCUUCGUCAGUAACUAAGAAAAUAGCUAAUAUGCCUAAUAAUCUUAUAGGGAGCAGUAUUCAUUCCUCAUGCUUAUUAGUGUUGACUUCUAUCACUAAUAAAUUUGAAGAUUCAUGUUGUGAAAGCAUACUAAGCAUUUGAAACCAAAAAUAAAAUUAAAAUUUAUGAUGGAAACAAUGAUAAGAAGCACCGAGUGCUUAAAUAUUAAAAAUAACUAUAAAUGAAAUAAUAUAUUGCUAUCUUAGUCACCUUGUAUUACCUUCAACUCAUUGAGAUUGUAAGCGUGUUCUUCCAUAAUCUCCACAUUGGGCUAUAUGCAUUAUAACCCAGAGUGGUUUCCUAAACUCGGAUUCCUGGGCCCUACCUCUGUAACCUACUGAAGGAAAUUUCACAUUCCUAAAACUUCUUAGGUAAUUAUUAUGGAGUCAGUCAGCUACUUUUAGACAGUCAAAGUGAAUCAUUAAACUAGGAUAACAGGGGAGAGCAAUGAAGUACUUGACUGAAAAUAUGAUACGGAUAUACAACAUAUCAGAAGAAAGACAAACUACUCCCACACAUGCUCAAGUCCUUCUCAAAUGAUCUUCUUUUAGAAAAAAUGACCAUAUGCAUAUGUGCACAUAACACAUGAGAUUUAUUACUUUUUAAGACAGACAGGGUGUGGUCAAUAGUGAUUUUUCUUGUCCUAUAAAUAUAUUAAUGUCUUUUUUACAAUGAAAGGAAAGGGAGAACAAAAAAGAAACAAAGAAAGCAGAACACUAGCAGUUAGUUUUUUGAAUCAAGUGUGAUGAAGAACUAUUGCACACUAUUUCAGUAGUCUCUAACAAGAUUAUGUUAAUCUACAUGGAGUAUCAGAAGCUGUUCUUCAUUUGCCACUAAGGGCAUUUUACUUACUUAGCAUGAAUUUUGUUUCAUCAUUUAACAUGCUUAUAUGUGUAUUAAGUCUGCUUCAGAAGUAAAGAAGAAAUGAUGUUUUAUGGAAGCUGGGCUUGAGGAGUUGAGAUAAUAUCUGAUGAGUACACAGAAUAAGAAUGGGUGAGGAAGGGAUAACCAAUGUUUUGCUUAAAAGACAAUAAUACAGAAACCUUUGCCAAUGUUUAUGUUCUAUGCUAUGUAUGUACAACACCCAUUUCAGCCAGUGGCAAACUGAAUAAACUGGCAAUGGUGAUGGCCAAAAUCUCCAAGUCCUCUUAACACUGCACACCUUUAGACCUACUUUUCAGUCCGCAGCAACACCACUCUGUCUUUGCAUUUUGUUUCUGUUUACUUUUACUUUAUUGGUAGAACUCUUUAGAGAAAUUUACAAGUUUCAAAGGAUUGCUGCAUUUGAGAAUUAGAUUUUAACUCAUUUAAUGUCGUGUUUUUCUUUCCUUAAAAAGAAAUAAACUUUCACACUUCUGAAUAUUUUUCUCUAUCCUCAUGUCAUGGUCAUUAUACAAGAGGGAAAAAUUAGAGAAUGUAAGAACUAUUAUGUGCUAGAUCCAUUGACUAAUUCUCCAGUUUUAUAUAUCAGGUUUGGUGUCAAAAACAUGGGUCACUGCUCACUGGGUUCUACAUAAAACAAGGUAUUGAAAGAGAAACCACAACUAGUCUAAUAAACAAUAGAGAAUAUGCAUACAGAGGUAGAUAAUACAAAAUUAGGUCACAGUUUACCUUCACAGGAUGACAAAGCUAAAUUCCAGCCAUGUUUCUGAGACAUCUUACUCUUUCAUUGUGGCCACCAUUGCCUAUUUAUUCAAGUCCAGAAGACUGCUCCAUACAAAUAUAUGAAGAUUAUAACUAUGCUAUAUUAUUGAGUUACUUGCUGAUGACAAUGUUCUCCUCAUCAAAUGACCUUUUAGUCAGUGGUGUUAGUUGAUUAGUUGCAAAGUUCCUUUGAUAUCUUAACUACAUGACCCAACAUUCAAAAAGGUAAGUUAUCCAUGUCAUGUUACAUUUGAAAUCAUUCAUUUUGCAGUGAGCUAAACAUAUUACACCAAUUUGUAAGCACUUGGUUUCUGUGGAUACUUUCCUAAAUUUCUUUCAACCUGACACACUAAAAGGUAUACCGUUCCUAAGUGGUAUUAAGUAUAUGAAAGUAAUAGACAUUAGUCAACAGAUUCAAAGUACUGUGACAUAUUUGCAGCCAAGAUUCUUAAGGUUCAACAUAUGAACUCUGCUGUGUAGGAAAAUGGAAGCAUAAAUUCCAUAGCUUCUCCCUUCUACGACUGCAGACAAAGGAACAUUCUUUUCAGAGUAUCUUACAAGCACAUAUAGCAAUAAAGAGCCAUGGUCAUUUGAAACAAUCUGGAAAACUCAUAAGACAUUAGACUGCUUCCUCAGACUGUCUUCAGAAAUAUAGAUUAUAGUGUUUGAAGAAUAUAGCUUCCUGUCAGUGAUAUAUAAUAAUUUGUGCAAUAUUCUUAAAAUGACAUUUCUGACAGUGGAAUGGCUAUUUCCUCUCUAUGUAAAAUAAUAUAACCAAAUACAGAGUUUGUGAUGGUUUUAAAAUCUAAGAAUAAAUGAGCAAAUUCUUCUCUUGAGCUUUAUAAACAAUAACUGAAUAAUAGAGUGGAUUUUAAAAGAUAACACACACACACAUACACAUACACACACACACACACAUGAGUGUGUGGGUAUGGGUUUUACACAUUUUCAUGUAUUUUUUUAAAUAUAGAGAGAUAUAUUGAAUAGCUCCUGGAAUUUAUUUUCAAUGUUAUGGUUAUAGAACAUGUUUAUUGAGUAUGAGAUAAUUGAAUAUAUCAUAAUAAACAUAGUUACUGCACAUAAUAGAUAUAAAUGACCGUUGUAAACAUGGUUGUCUUUCUGUGUUCCUCAAUAGUAAAGAGACUGUGAGCUUUCUUCAGGCAUUUUUUUUCAUAUGUGUAUUUUGAAUAUGACCAUGACUACUAUGUAUUUCCAGCUUAUUCUAUCUACAUUCACUACACUUCCUAUUCAUUUCUACUGUGGAGGAGGUUAGCUAAUACUCAAGUUUUUUGAAAGCUAUUUAUUACUCUGUUGAGGGUACACCACCCUUGGGCUACAAAGCUGCCUAGGAAUACCCAGGCUCUCUCUCUGCGUGUUGUAAAAAACAGAGAACUAUGCCUAGCAACAAAGGGGCCAGGUAACAGCUUAGAUCCUGGGGAAAAAAUAUAUAUGUAUAUAUUGCCUUCUCCAUGUAAAGAAUGUUGAGCUAGUAUUUCAAUUACACCAGGAUGAGAACACAACUAAAAUUAGAAAGAGAUCAUAAUUAUAACAAGUACUUUGCCUAAUUUAAAUGUUUCUAAGUCAUAUACUUAGAGAGCAAUAAUUAACCAUCACAGAUGACUUUGAGAAUUAAUAUAUAUCUUAUGUAAGUUGUGUCAUAUAGUGUUUAAUGCAGGCCCAAAUCCCUGAAAAAGAAAAAUACAUCGUGUCCACUAAACAUAGCUACCAGUGGGAAUACAUACUGGAAAAUACAAACUAUGAAAAUUCUGACCACACUGUAUACUCCUAAUUUCAGUGUGAGCCUGUAAAGGUUGUUUUCAUGCAGUGUUGGCUAUUGGUAGCAGUCUCUUAAUUUAGUAAAUCAUGCAGUGAAUGCUACCUGUGUAUAUAUGGUGUUAGUGGAAUCUGCAGGUUAGGCCUAUACCAGUGCUCAUGAGGUGUUUCGCUACAUUAGAAGCUGUUUCAACAAAACUUCUGAAGACUAUACUUUUUUAGAAUCCCAAAGGCAUGAAAUCCAGAGCUUUUCUUUGCUUUGUUGUCAGGCAAUAAGAAACAACAUUCUUAGCAAAAUUUCCUGACAGACAUUAGUCAGUAACACUGGUAUAAGAAUUUGCUUCAGAGUGUGGCAGUAACUUCUUUGAAGGCAUAGGUCAGAGACAGGAAGGGCAGUUUCUACUACAUCAUUUUGUGAGACGAUAUUGAUUACACAGUCACUUAGGGUUGCAAACACCACCUACAUUCCUAAGUUUUAAUGUGAAAAGGACCCAGUUUUACAAAUGUUUUGUUAAAAAAAUGUGUUUUGUUUUAACUGGUAUGCGUUUGAAGAUUUAAAAAAAAAAUCUUUCCAGCAUCUUAGUUAAAGGUUUACCUUCUACUAGAAAAUUCCAUUUCUUCUGUAUCCAAACUACAUUAAGCAAAUCUAAAAAGUAUAUUUACUAAGCAUACAUGUGUUUCUCAACAGCUGGAUAUCCUUAGUUAUACAUACUCUCAGCUCAAGCACUGAUCUCACUAAAUAAGUGAAACUAUAUUAGAUUAGUAGGUUAACAUCACACAAUAUACCAACAAAGCACACUCUAAAUAUCUAAAUGUGAAAUGCAAUUAUCUAGAAGAAGAUAUAGACAUAUAAAAAUAGGUAAUAUCCCUAAAAUAUUUUGCUGAGUUAUAGUAGUUGUUCCUGCUUGGAAGUUUAACCAUACUGCCAUGAUAUCAU